GAUCAUGGCUCAGGAUGAACGCUAGCUACAGGCUUAACACAUGCAAGUCGAGGGGAAACGACAUCGGAAGCUUGCUUUGAUGGGCGUCGACCGGCGCACGGGUGAGUAACGCGUAUCCAACCUGCCCACCACUUGGGGGAUAACCUUGCGAAAGUAAGACUAAUACCCAAUGACGUCUCUAGAAGACAUCUGAAAGGGGAUUAAAGAUUUAUCGGUGAUGGAUGGGGAUGCGUCUGAUUAGCUUGUUGGCGGGGUAACGGCCCACCAAGGCGACGAUCAGUAGGGGUUCUGAGAGGAAGGUCCCCCACAUUGGAACUGAGACACGGUCCAAACUCCUACGGGAGGCAGCAGUGAGGAAUAUUGGUCAAUGGGCGAGAGCCUGAACCAGCCAAGUAGCGUGUGGGACGAAUGCCCUAUGGGUUGUAAACCACUUUUGCAGGAGGGUAAAAUGCUUCACGUGUGGAGUAUUGCAAGUAUCCUGCGAAUAAGGACCGGCUAAUUCCGUG
rnacentral:rRNA from 1 species